AUUGAACGCUGGCGGCAGGCUUAACACAUGCAAGUCGAACGAGUGGCGGACGGGUGAGUAAUGUUUGGGAAUCUAUCCUAUGGAGGGGGAUAACUACGGGAAACUGUAGCUAAUACCGCGUACCAUAGGGUGAGCCCAGGGGGGAUUAGCUAGUUGGUGAGGUAAAGGCUCACCAAGCCGACGAUCCCUAGCUGGUCUGAGAGGAUGACCAGCCACACUGGAACUGAGACACGGCCCAGACUCCGACGGGAGGCAGCAGUGGGGAAUAUUGCACAAUGGGGGCAAGCCUGAUGCAGCCAUGCCGCGUGUAUGAAGAAGGCCUUCGGGUUGUAAAGUACUUUCAGUGGGGAGGCGUUACCUGCAGAAGAAGCACCGGCUAACUCCGUGCCAGCAGCCGCGGUAAUUC
rnacentral:rRNA from 1 species